rnacentral:rRNA from 1 species
AACGAACGCUGGCGGCAUGCCUAACACAUGCAAGUCGAACGCUGCCUUCGGGGCUUGCUUCGCACGGUUGCUUGACACGUGGUGACUAACCCUUAGGUUCGGAAUCACUCCCCGGGAGGGAUCCUAAUGCAGGGUAAUGUCUUCGCGCCAAAGAUUUAUCGCCUUGGGAUGGGGCCGCGUUAGAUUCGAUAGUUGGUAGAGUAGAUGCCUACCAAGGCUACGAGCCAUAGCUGGUCUUAGAGGAUGACCAGCAACACUGGGACUGAGACACGUCCCAGAUUCUUAGGGGAGGCAGCAGUGGGGAACAUUCGACGCUGCGCGAAAGACUGAUGUAGCCAUGUCGUGUGAGUGAGGAAGGAGUUAGGGUUGUAAAGCUGUGUUGACCGGGAUGACAGUGACAGUACCGGGCGAAUAAGCGCCGGCUAACUCCGUG